GCACCAGCUUCCUCGAGCCGGCGCGUGUCCCUAUCGUUGGAAAUGGGGUCUCUGACCUCUGCGCUGUGCCCCUCCACCUCCCCAAUGCCCAGAGACCCAAAGGGCGAAGGUUGAGGGUGGGGUGGCAGCCCAGCCACUGUCCUGCCUGUAAACCAGUCUCUGCCCCUCAUCUACAGUGGGGAGGACGAUGCAUGGGAUUCCUUUGAGGAUCCGAUGAGAACCAUGACUCCCCAGAAGAACGCACAAUUUCACAAACAAGUGUCAUGAGGUUCACAGACCUGGGACUUUUUUUUUUUUUAAGUACAUGUUUUGAUGGGUAGGAUGGUAAAAAAGAGGGAGAUGUGAAGAGGAGGAGAGACCAAAGCAAAAGGGAAAUACUGCCAAUAUAAAGUGGCAGAAUUCCUUUCAAAUACGUGAUGUCUGCGUAAGUACAAUGACGAGGGGAUGUUUUAAUUUACAGAAAUUGGCCUGCAAAAAAUUUUGGAGACAUCUUGUAUUUUUUUCUAAUCCUGGUAAAAUGGAAGACAUCAGCAGAAGUUGGAGCAUAUCUAAGUUGUAAAAUGGACAUAAGGACAUCACCAAUAAGCUGGACUCCAGAAAUCUCUGUCUAGGAUUUUAUUAGACUGCUUUUCUCCCCCCAAUAUACCUGUUUUGGAAGAUUGAGACAAAAAGGCACAAACUCACAUUAAAUAAACAAGGUAAUCUAAUCAGUUC